UUAUUGCCCCAUGGAGGGAACUCUGACGCAGCGUCGCCGCGUGAGCGAUGAAGUUCUUCGGAUCGAUAAGCUCUGUCCUUGGGGAGGACGGUCUUCGGUCUUGACGGUACCUAAGGAGGCAGCCCCCGCUAACUACGUCCCAACAGCCGCGGUAAUACGUAGGGGGCAAGCGUUGUCCGGAAUUAUUGGGCGUAAAGGGUGCGUAGGCGGCCUUUUAAGUCAGAUGUGAAAGCCCACGGCUUAACCGUGGGACUGCAUUUGAAACUGGAGGGCUUGAGUAUCGGAGAGGGUAGGGGAAUUCCCAGUGUAGCGGUGGAAUGCGUAGAUAUUGGGAGGAACACCAGUGGCGAAGGCGACUACCUGGACGAAAACUGACGCUGAGGCACGAAAGCUAGGGGAGCAAAC
rnacentral:rRNA from 1 species